AGAGUUUGAUCCUGGCUCAGGAUGAACGCUAGCGGCAGGCCUAACACAUGCAAGUCGAGGGGUAGAACACUUCGGUGUUUGAGACCGGCGCACGGGUGCGUAACGCGUAUGCAAUCUACCUUGUACAGGGGAAUAGCCCAGAGAAAUUUGGAUUAAUGCCCCAUAGUAUAUAACCUUCGCAUGUUGGUUAUAUUAAAGUUCCAACGGUACAAGAUGAGCAUGCGUCCCAUUAGUUAGUUGGUAAGGUAACGGCUUACCAAGACGAUGAUGGGUAGGGGUCCUGAGAGGGAGAUCCCCCACACUGGUACUGAGACACGGACCAGACUCCUACGGGAGGCAGCAGUGAGGAAUAUUGGUCAAUGGUCGCAAGACUGAACCAGCCAUGCCGCGUGCAGGAAGACGGUCCUAUGGAUUGUAAACUGCUUUUAUACAGGAAGAAACCCUCCCA
rnacentral:rRNA from 1 species